AGAGUUUGAUCCUGGCUCAGGACGAACGCUGGCGGCGUGCCUAAUACAUGCAAGUCGAACGCUUUUUCUUUCACCGGAGCUUGCUCCACCGAAAGAAAAAGAGUGGCGAACGGGUGAGUAACACGUGGGUAACCUGCCCAUCAGAAGGGGAUAACACUUGGAAACAGGUGCUAAUACCGUAUAACACUAUUUUCCGCAUGGAAGAAAGUUGAAAGGCGCUUUUGCGUCACUGAUGGAUGGACCCGCGGUGCAUUAGCUAGUUGGUGAGGUAACGGCUCACCAAGGCCACGAUGCAUAGCCGACCUGAGAGGGUGAUCGGCCACACUGGGACUGAGACACGGCCCAGACCCCUACGGGAGGCAGCAGUAGGGAAUCUUCGGCAAUGGACGAAAGUCUGACCGAGCAACGCCGCGUGAGUGAAGAAGGUUUUCGGAUCGUAAAACUCUGUUGUUAGAGAAGAACAAGGAUGAGAGUAAAAUGUUCAUCCCUUGACGGUAUCUAACCAGAAAGCCACGGCUAACUACGUGCCAGCAGCCGCGGUAAUACGUAGGUGGCAAGCGUUGUCCGGAUUUAUUGGGCGUAAAGCGAGCGCAGGCGGUUUCUUAAGUCUGAUGUGAAAGCCCCCGGCUCAACCGGGGAGGGUCAUUGGAAACUGGGAGACUUGAGUGCAGAAGAGGAGAGUGGAAUUCCAUGUGUAGCGGUGAAAUGCGUAGAUAUAUGGAGGAACACCAGUGGCGAAGGCGGCUCUCUGGUCUGUAACUGACGCUGAGGCUCGAAAGCGUG
rnacentral:rRNA from 1 species